rnacentral:sRNA from 1 species
ACUGCUUUACUUUAGAAGUCCCCAUAUUGGAGAGCCCGUUAGUCCCGCCUGAUUAGGUUCAAGACUACCGGGUUUUUUCUU